rnacentral:rRNA from 1 species
UACGAAGGGUGCUAGCGUUUUUCGGAAUCACUGGGCGUAAAGCGCACGCAGGCGGAUUGAUAAGUCGGGGGUGAAAUCCGGGGGCUUAACCUCGGAAUUGCCUUCGGUACUGUCUGUCUUGAGUUUGGGAGAGGUUGGCGGAAUUCCUAGUGUAGAGGUGAAAUUCGUAGAUAUUAGGAAGAACACCAGUGGCGAAGGUGGCCAACUGGCCCGAAACUGACGCUCAGGUGCGAAAGCGUGGGGAGCAAACAGG